GGCUCGGUAGCUCAGCGGUAGAGCAGGGGAAUCAUAAUCCCUUGGUCGGGGGUUCAAAUCCCUCCCGAGCCACCA
rnacentral:tRNA from 3 species